rnacentral:rRNA from 1 species
GGGCUUCGGCCCUGAGUAAAGUGGCGCACGGGUGAGUAACACGUGAAUUAUCUACCUCCGAGUGGGGAAUAACUUCGGGAAACCGAGGCUAAUACCGCAUAACACUUACGAGUCAAAGCAGUAAUGCGCUUGGAGAGGAGUUCGCGGCAGAUUAGUUAGUUGGCGGGGUAAUGGCCCACCAAGACGAUGAUCUGUAUCCGGCCUGAGAGGGCGCACGGACACACUGGAACUGAAACACGGUCCAGACUCCUACGGGAGGCAGCAGUGGGGAAUUUUGCGCAAUGGGGGAAACCCUGACGCAGCAACGCCGCGUGGAGGAUGAAGUCUCUUGGGACGUAAACUCCUUUCGAUCGGGACGAUUAUGACGGUACCGGAAGAAGAAGCCCCGGCUAACUUCGUGCCAGCAGCCGCGGUAAUACGAGGGGGGCAAGCGUUGUUCGGAAUUAUUGGGCGUAAAGGGCGCGUAGGCGGUUUGGCAAGUCUAGUGUGAAAUCUUCGGGCUCAACUCGAAGUCUGCACUGGAAACUGCCGGGCUUGAGUAUGGGAGAGGUGAGUGGAAUUUCCGGUGUAGCGGUGAAAUGCGUAGAUAUCGGAAGGAACACCUGUGGCGAAAGCGGCUCACUGGACCAUAACUGACGCUGAGGCGCGAA